ensembl:snRNA LOC120099423 U6 spliceosomal RNA
UUACUUUGACAGUGACUAUAUUAAAAUUGGACUGAUACAGAGAAGAUAACAUACCUCCUGAACAAAGAUAACACACAAGUCCAUGAAACAUUCCAUGCAAAA